GAAGAGAGCAGAGGGAUUGCCCUAGUAACGGCGAGUGAAGCGGCAACAGCUCAAAUUUGAAAUCUGGCGUCUUUGGCGUCCGAGUUGUAAUUUGCAGAGGGCGCUUUGGCAUUGGCAGCGGUCCAAGUUCCUUGGAACAGGACGUCACAGAGGGUGAGAAUCCCGUACGUGGUCGCUAGCCUUUACCGUGUAAAGCCCCUUCGACGAGUCGAGUUGUUUGGGAAUGCAGCUCUAAAUGGGAGGUAAAUUUCUUCUAAAGCUAAAUACUGGCCAGAGACCGAUAGCGCACAAGUAGAGUGAUCGAAAGAUGAAAAGCACUUUGGAAAGAGAGUUAAAAAGCACGUGAAAUUGUUGAAAGGGAAGCGCUUGCAGCCAGACUUGCCUGUAGUUGCUCAUCUGGGUUUUUACCCGGUGCACUCUUCUAUAGGCAGGCCAGCAUCAGUUUGGGCGGUUGGAUAAAGGUCUCUGUCAUGUACCUCCUUUCGGGGAGAACUUAUAGGGGAGACGACAUGCAACCAGCCUGGACUGAGGUCCGCGCAUCUGCUAGGAUGCUGGCGUAAUGGCUGUAAGCGGCCCGUCUUGAAACACGGACCAAGGAGUCUAACAUCUAUGCGAGUGUUUGGGUGUCAAGCCCGAACGCGUAAUGAAAGUGAACGGAGGUGGGAACCUUUCGGGGUGCACCAUCGACCGAUCCUGAUGUCUUCGGAUGGAUUUGAGUAAGAGCAUAGCUGUUGGGACCCGAAAGAUGGUGAACUAUGCUUGAAUAGGGUGAAGCCAGAGGAAACUCUGGUGGAGGCUCGCAGCGGUUCUGACGUGCAAAUCGAUCGUCAAAUUUGGGCAUAGGGGCGAAAGACUAAUCGAACAUCAGGC
rnacentral:rRNA from 1 species